rnacentral:rRNA from 1 species
AUUGAACGCUGGCGGCAGGCCUAACACAUGCAAGUCGAGCGGAUGAAGGGAGCUUGCUCCUGGAUUCAGCGGCGGACGGGUGAGUAAUUCCUAGGAAUCUGCCUGGUAGUGGGGGAUAACGUCCGGAAACGGGCGCUAAUACCGCAUACGUCCUGAGGGAGAAAGUGGGGGAUCUUCGGACCUCACGCUAUCAGAUGAGCCUAGGUCGGAUUAGCUAGUUGGUGGGGUAAAGGCCUACCAAGGCGACGAUCCGUGACUGGUCUGAGAGGAUGAUCAGUCACACGGGAACUAGACCACGGCCCAGAUCCCUACGGGAGGAAGCAGUGGGGAAUUUUGGACAAUGGGCGAAAGCCUGAUCCAGACAUGCCGCGUGUGUGAAGAAGGUUUUCGGAUUGUAAAGCACUUUAAGUUGGGAGGAAGGGCAGUAAGUUAAUACCUUGCUGUUUUGACGUUACCAACAGAAUAAGCACCGGCUAACUUCGUG